rnacentral:rRNA from 1 species
ACGCUAGCGACGUGCCUAAGGUAUGCAAGUCGAACGGAAAGGCCCUUCGGGGUACUCGAGUGGCAGACGGCUGAGUAACACGUAGGAACAUUCCCUUAACUCAAGUAUAGCUCACCGAAAGGUGUGGUAAUCCUUGAUAGUCCCUUCGGGGUAAAGCUUUUGCGGUUAAGGAUUGGCCUGCGGCCUAUCAGGUUGUUGGUGGGGUAAAUGCCUACCAAGCCUAUGACGGGUAGCUGGUCUGAGAGGAUGACCAGCCAGACUGGGACUGCGACACGGCCCAGACUCCUACGGGAGGCAGCAACUAGGAAUCAUGCGCAAUGGACGAAAGUCUGACGCUGCGACGUCGCGUGAAGGAUGAAGGUCUUAGGAUUGUAAACUUCUUUUAUAUGGGAACAAGUUCUGAGUGUACCAUAUGAAUAAGUGCCUGCUAACCACGUGCCAGAAGCAUCGGUAAUACGUGGGGCACGAGCGUUAUCCGGAAUUACUGGGCGUAAAGAGAUGCGUAGGUGUCCAGAUAAGUUUUAUGUCAAAUCUCAUCGCUCAACGGUGAAAUCGCGUAGAAAACUAUUUGGAUUGAGUCAGGUAGAGAAGAGGGGAAUUCCUGGUGGAGCGGUUAAAUGCGUUGAUAUCAGGAGGAACACCAAUGGCGAAGGCACCUCUUUGGACCUAUACUGACACUGAGGCUCGAAAGCGUGGGGAGCGAACAGGAUUAGAUACCCUGGUAGUCCACGCUGUAAACGAUGUGCACUAGGUGUUGGCUGUGAUAACGGUCAGUGCCGAAGCAAACGCGAUAAGUGCACCGCCUGGGGAGUAUGCUCGCAAGGGUGAAACUCAAAGGAAUUGACGGGGGCCCGCACAAGCGGUGGAGCAUGUGGUUUAAUUCGAUGAUACGCGAGGAACCUUACCAGGGUUUGACAUAUGGCGGACUGCGGCAGAGAUGUCGCUUCCCUUCGGGGCCGUCAUACAGGUGCUGCAUGGCUGUCGUCAGCUCGUGCUGUGAGGUGUUGGGUUAAGUCCCGCAACGAGCGCAGCCCCUGCUGUCUGUUACCAGCACGUAAUGGUGGGGACUCAGGCGGUACUGCCGGUGACAAACCGGAGGAAGGUGGGGACGACGUCAAGUCAUCAUGGCCAUUAUGUCCUGGGCUACACACGUGCUACAAUGGCCGGUACAGAGUGCAGCGAAACCGCGAGGUGGAGCAAAUCACAGAAAGCCGGUCUCAGUACGGAUUGGAGUCUGAAACCCGACUUCAUGAAGCUGGAAUCGCUAGUAAUCGCGCAUCAGCAUGGCGCGGUGAAUACGUUCCCGGGCAUUGUACACACCGCCCGUCACACCACCCGAGUUGGGGUACCCGAAGUCGCUG